rnacentral:rRNA from 1 species
CCUACGGGAGGCUGCAGUGAGGAAUAUUGGUCAAUGGACGAGAGUCUGAACCAGCCAAGUAGCGUGAAGGAUGACUGCCCUAUGGGUUGUAAACUUCUUUUAUAUGGGAAUAAAAUGUUCCACGUGUGGGAUUUUGUAUGUACCAUAUGAAUAAGGAUCGGCUAACUCCGUGCCAGCAGCCGCGGUAAUACGGAGGAUCCGAGCGUUAUCCGGAUUUAUUGGGUUUAAAGGGAGCGUAGGUGGAUUGUUAAGUCAGUUGUGAAAGUUUGCGGCUCAACCGUAAAAUUGCAGUUGAAACUGGCAGUCUUGAGUACAGUAGAGGUGGGCGGAAUUCGGGGUGUAGCGGUGAAAUGCUUAGAUAUCACGAAGAACUCCGAUUGCGAAGGCAGUUCACUGGACUGCAACUGACACUGAGGCUCGAAAGUGGGGGUAUCAAACAGGAUUAGAUACCCCAGUAGUC